GAUAUUGCGCAAUGGGGGAAACCCUGACGCAGCAACGCCGCGUGAAGGAUGAAGGUCUUCGGAUCGUAAACUUUUGUCUUUGGGGACGAAAAAAAUGACGGUACCCAAGGAGGAAGCCACGGCUAACUACGUGCCAGCAGCCGCGGUAAUACGUAGGUGGCAAGCGUUGUCCGGAUUUACUGGGUGUAAAGGGCGUGUAGGCGGGAAGUCAAGUCAGAUGUGAAAUACCGGGGCUCAACUCCGGGGCUGCAUUUGAAACUGAUUUUCUUGAGUGCUGGAGAGGAAAGCGGAAUUCCUAGUGUAGCGGUGAAAUGCGUAGAUAUUAGGAGGAACACCAGUGGCGAAGGCGGCUUUCUGGACAGUAACUGACGCUGAGGCGCGAAAGCGUGGGGAGCAAACAGG
rnacentral:rRNA from 1 species